UAACUUCUUUUGUACAGGAUAAAACCUACUCUCGUGAGGGUAGCUGAAAGGUACUGUACGAAUAAGCACCGGGCUAACUCCCGUGCCCAGCAGCCGCGGUAAUACGGAGGGUGCAAGCGUUAUCCGGGAUUUAUUGGGUUUAAAGGGUCCGUAGGCGGGCCCGUAAGUCAGUGGUGAAAUCUCAUAGCUUAACAAUGAAACUGCCAUUGAUACUGCGGGUCUUGAGUAAAUUUGAAGCGGCUGGAAUAAGUAGUGUAGCGGUGAAAUGCAUAGAUAUUACUUAGAACACCAAUUGCGAAGGCAGGUCACUAAGAUUUAACUGACGCUGAUGGACGAAAGCGUGGGUAGCGAACAGGAUUAGAUACCCUGGUAGUCCACGCCGUAAACGAUGCUAACUCGUUUUUGGAUUUUCGGAUUCAGAGACCAAGCGAAAGUGAUAAGUUAGCCACCUGGGGAGUACGUUCGCAAGAAUGAAACUCAAAGGAAUUGACGGGGGCCCGCACAAGCGGUGGAUUAUGUGGUUUAAUUCGAUGAUACGCGAGGAACCUUACCAAGACUUAAAUGGGAAAUGACAGGUUUAGAAAUAGACCCUUCUUCGGACAUUUUUCAAGGUACUGCAUGGUUGUCGUCAGCUCGUGCCGUGAGGAGUUAGGUUAAGUCCUGCAACGAGCGCAACCCCUGUCACUAGUUGCUAACAUUCAGUUGAGGACUCUAGUGAGACUGCCUACGCAAGUAGAGAGGAAGGUGGGGAUGACGUCAAAUCAUCACGGCCCUUACGUCUUGGGCCACACACGUAAUACAAUGGCCGGUACAGAGGGCAGCUACACAGCGAUGUGAUGCAAAUCUCGAAAGCCGGUCUCAGUUCGGAUUGGAGUCUGCAACUCGACUCUAUGAAGCUGGAAUCGCUAGUAAUCGCGCAUCAGCCAUGGCGCGGUGAAUACGUUCCCGGGCCUUGUACACACCGCCCGUCAAGCCAUGGAAGUUUGGGGUACCUGAAGUCGGUGACCGUAAAAGGAGCUGCCUA
rnacentral:rRNA from 1 species